UGCGAGGUCGGCUAACGGUAGGCCACGGCGCUCUGGACGCCGGUAUCCUGGUUCGAAUCCAGGCCUCGCAG
rnacentral:tRNA from 1 species